rnacentral:ncRNA from 2 species
UCUGCCCAGUGCUCUGAAU